rnacentral:rRNA from 1 species
AGAGUUUGAUCCUGGCUCAGGACGAACGCUUGCGACGUGCCUAAGAAAUGCAAGUCGGACGGGGGGAGCAAUCCCCUAGUGGCGAACGGUCGCGUAACACGUGGGCAACCUGCCUCGAAGCGGGGGACAACAACCCGAAAGGGUUGCUAAUACCGCAUGUGGACCACCCCCGGCAUCGGGGGGUGUCCAAAGCCUCCGGGCACUUCGAGAUGGGCCCGCGGCCUAUCAGCUAGUUGGUGGGGUAACGGCCUACCAAGGCGACGACGGGUAGCUGGUCUGAGAGGACGAUCAGCCGGAUUGGGACUGAGAUACGGCCCAGACUCCUACGGGGGGCAGCAAUUAGGAAUCUUGCGCAAUGGGCGAAAGCCUGACGCAGCGACGUCGCGUGAAGGAUGAAAUCUUUCGGGAUGUAAACUUCUUUUACCGGGGAAGAAACAAAUGACGGUACCCGGUGAAUAAGCCCCGGCUAACUACGUGCCAGCAGCCGCGGUAAUACGUAGGGGGCGAGCGUUGUCCGAAGUUACUGGGCGUAAAGAGCGCGUAGGCGGGUCUUUAAGUGAGGGGUGAAAGGUUCAGGGCUCAACCCGGACACUGCCUUUCAUACUGGGGGCCUUGAGUGUGGGAGAGGCGAGUGGAAUGGUCGGUGUAGCGGUGAAAUGCGUAGAUAUCGAUCGGAACACCCAUGGCGAAGGCAGCUCGCUGGCCUAUAACUGACGCUGAGGCGCGAAAGCGUGGGGAGCAAACAGGAUUAGAUACCCUGGUAGUCC